AAAAUUAAAAAUAAAACGCAGUGAUCUAUCAAAAUUACGCACGAUAUCUUCAAUCCACUUCCAGGAAAAAUUGAAUUCAAACCCUAGAAACAAAAUCAAUAUUCAGCAAACAAUGAACUCAAACCCUAGAUUCGAAAUCGAUCAUCAAACCCAAAGGAAUCUUAUUCCUCUGUAAUCAAACUCAGAGUAAUCGGAAUUCAGAGAAAUUGAAGUUAGAGCAAUCAAAACUCAGAGGUUGUUUCCCAGAUUAAUCGUUCAACUCGUCUUCUCCAAUCACACUCGUCAAUCCUAAUAUCCAAGAACCCAUAAACCACUGUGAACCUUAACCCAUAACCCGUAAAUCAUCUUCUCUCCAAGAACCUUAAUCCAAUAACCCACGCAUUUAACCGUCGGUAGUCUCGUUCGUCGCCGCACUCUCACAACUCAAACUGCUGUCAUUAAGGUAUAUGAUCAAAAGUCUCAAAGGCAUGUCGAAUAACUAAUUGUAAAAAAAAGUUUGUGGUUAAUGACAGGUAUUUUGUCAUUCAAAAUAGCUCUUAGUCUAAUAGGUAUAGUAUAAUUUUUUGGCUUGAACUGAUCAGAUGCAAGCUAUCAAAAGCAUUAGUACUGAAGGCAAUCUGUGCAAAUCUCUAAGAGACCAUAGAGCCAUAAAUUUAUUAAACUCCAGGUCCUUUUUAUUGUUAUUUUCUUUCUGGAGGAUGAAAUAGUUUUCACCUUAGUUAUUUGCAUAAAAGAAUUGAUAUAUCUAGUCUAGUACUUUUGAUUAUAU